rnacentral:rRNA from 1 species
UGGGGAAUUUUGGACAAUGGGGGCAACCCUGAUCCAGCCAUCCCGCGUGUGCGAUGAAGGCCUUCGGGUUGUAAAGCACUUUUGGCAGGGAAGAAACAGCCUGGGCUAAUAUCCCGGGCGACUGACGGUACCUGCAGAAUAAGCACCGGCUAACUACGUGCCAGCAGCCGCGGUAAUACGUAGGGUGCAAGCGUUAAUCGGAAUUACUGGGCGUAAAGCGUGCGCAGGCGGUUCGGAAAGAAAGGUGUGAAAUCCCAGGGCUUAACCCUGGAACUGCACUUUUAACUACCGGGCUAGAGUACGUCAGAGGGGGGUAGAAUUCCACGUGUAGCAGUGAAAUGCGUAGAGAUGUGGAGGAAUACCGAUGGCGAAGGCAGCCCCCUGGGAUGAUACUGACGCUCAUGCACGAAAGCGUGGGGAGCAAACA